CUAAUUCGACUUUCAAUUUUUAUUUUGCUAGUGUAAUUUUGUUUUUAUUUUUAUUUUAGGUUAUUAUCCUUUAUUUGUGUUUUAGUUAUUUAAAUUGUUUGAAUCUCAAUGCUUGUACUGGUUUUAAUUCUCAGAUUUGCAUGUCACGAUUACCUAGAGGAGAAUUGAUUCUAGCUGAUCUUGAAAUCGAGCGCACCUUUUAUCGACGACAAAGAGAUCACCGCAAAGCACAAGUACAAAUGGCCAACGAAUUAAACAAUCCUAUUAUUCAAGCUAACGAAAGAGAGGCAAUGGACGAAGGAAAUGAAAUUCUGGGGGAUAUCUUGACUCCUUAAGUUAUUCAAAGCCAAUCCAGCAUUGUGUAUCCACCGUUUGGGCAGCCCAAUUUUCAAUUGAAGAUCAAUGUGAUACAGCUAUUUCAAAAUGGACACCAAUUUUAUGGCAGAGUCGAGGAGAAUCCACACACACACAUAUCUCAAUUUUUGGAUAUGUGUCAACAUUUCAGAUACCAAGGGAUUUUGGAUGACGCUAUUAGGUUAAGGCUUUUUCCGCACACUUCAGCUAGUAGGCAGAUCACUGACACACCCCAUAGGGAUAAUUGAAGACGUGCUCAUCAAGGUCGAAAAGUUCAUAUUCCCAGCAAAUUUUCUUAUCUUGGACAUGGAAGAAGACAAGGAUGUCCCAUUGAUACUUGGUAGACCAUUCCUGACCACAGGAAGGGCGUUAAUUGACGUUCAAAGGGGGCAGUUGAUUUUAAGAUCGGGAGAGGAGCAGAUAUCGUUCAAUGUAUUCAAGGCAAUGAAACUGCCAGCAGAAUUAGAUAGCUGUUAUCAAGUUGACAUAUUGACAAAGCAGUACAGGAAACAUUCUUACUUCAUGGCCCAUCUGAUGCAUAUGAGGCAUGCAUUGCACAAUCCCAAUCAGUUCACUCAAGUUUUCUUGAAGUUGAAACAUGUGCACGAUUUUUGGAGACCAACCUACCAUACACCCGAAAACGGCACUUCGAUGAACUGGGGGUAGGAAAUACGAAGCCACUGCCUUCUAUCCAGCGGCCGCCAGUUUUAGAAUUCAAGCAACUACUGCCACAUCUCAGAUAUGCAUAUUUGGGGAAGUCAGAUACACUUCCAGUAAUCAUUUCAAACACAGUCAGUGAGGUGGAGAAAGAAAAACUGCUUAGGGUACUUAGAGAGAACAAGACGGCGAUUGGGUGGACAAUAGCUGACAUUAAAGGAAUUAGCCCUUCUCUGUGUAUGCAUAAAAUUCUAAUGGAGGAAAACUACAAGCCAAGUAUAGAGGGUCAGAGAAGAUUAAAUCCGAACAUGAAGGAAGUGGUCAGGGCAGAGAUACUGAAAUUACUGGAUGCAGGAAUUAUCUACCAAAUUUCAGAUAGUGCAUGGAUCAGUCCAAUUCAAGUGGUGCUAAAAAAGGGGGAAUCACAGUGGUGAAAAAUGAGAAGAAUGAAAUAACAGUUACGGGAUGGAGAGUUUGCAUCGACUAUCACAAACACAAUGCAUCUACACGAAAGGAUCAUUUCCCCCUCCCAUUCAUUGAUCGGAUGUUAGAGAGAUUGGUUGGACAUUCACACUACUGCUUCCUUGAUGGAUGCUUGGGCUAUAAUCAGAUACCUGCCGCACCAGAAGAUCAGGAGAAUACCACUUUCACCUGUCCCUAUGGUACUUUUGCCCAUCGUAGGAUGCCUUUUGGUCUUUGCAACGCUCCAGCCACAUUUCAGAGAUGUAUGACGGCAAUAUUCUCCGAUAUGAUUGAAAGGUUUAUUGAAGUUUUCAUGGACGACUUCUCAGUGUUUGGAUCGUCAUUUGAUGAAUGUCUAUAGCACCUGAAUUUGGUCUUAUAGAGAUGCAAGGAGACUAACCUGGUUUUAAAUUGGGAGAAAUGCUACUUUAUGGUGCAGGAAGGCAUUGUACUCGGGCAUCAGAUCUCGGCAAAAGGAAUUGAGGUGGACAAGGUAAAAAUUCAAGUUAUUGAGAAGUUACCACCGCCUACAUCAGUUAAAGGAGUUCAUAGUUUCUUGGGGCAUGCGGGGUUCUACAGGAGAUUUAUAAAAGAUUUCUCGAAGGUCACUAAACCGUUGUGCAAUCUGCUAAUGAAAGACGUACCCUUUGAGUUUAAUGAGAAAUGCCUCACAGCAUCCAACACUUUAAAGGAGAAGCUUACGACAGCACCAGUAAUUGUGGCACCAGACUGGGAACUGCCUUUUGAAUUGAUGUGUGAUGCAAGUGAUCACGCUAUAGGUGCAGUAUUAGGACAGCGGAGAAACAAGAUUUUUCAUGUGAUCUACUAUGCAAGUAGGACUCUAAAGGAUGCGCAAAUCAAUUUUGCCACCACUGAAAAGGAGCUAUUGGCUGUGGUAUAUGCAUUCGAUAAAUUCAGGUCAUACCUUGUCGGGUCUAAAGUCAUCGUCUACACUGAUCAUGCUGCAUUGAAGUAUCUGCUCACAAAGAAGGAUGCAAAGCCGAGAUUAAUUCGUUGGGUGCUAUUGCUGCAAGAAUUUGAUAUCGAGAUAUGAGACAAGAGGGGCAGUGAGAAUGUAGUAGCAGAUCACCUAUCCCGAUUAGAGCCUGGGGAGACGGAAGAUUUAGUAGAUAUAAAUGAGAUCUUCCCAGAUGAGCAGAUUUUAAGAGUAGAUGAAGCACCUUGGUACCUAGAUAUCGUUAAUUACUUGGCCAGUUCUAUCCCACCGCCGGACUACUCAACUCAUCGGAGGAAAAAGUUCUUCGCCGAAUUGAAAUAUUAUUUAUGGGAGGAUCCAAUCCUCUCUGGGCGAGAGGCUGAUCAGAUAGUAAGGAGAUGCAUACCUAAGGAAGAAGUACAUGAGAUUCUUAAGCACUGCCACUCAUCUGCAAAUGCAGGACACUUUGGGGCUUCGAAAACAGCUGCAAAGAUUCUACAAUCAGGGUUCUACUGGCCUACACUGUUUAGAGACGCUUUUGAGUUUGUCAAAAGGUGUGACCGAUGUCAAUGCACUGGGAACAUCUCAAGGAGGAAUGAAAUGCCACUGAAUAAUAUUUUGGAGAUGGAGAUAUUCGAUGUUUGGGGAAUUGACUUCAUGGGACCCUUCUCCCCGUCGUUCUCAAAUCAGUACAUCUUGUAGCAGUGGAUUACGUAUCAAAAUGGGUGGAAGCAAUUGCACUGCCAAAAAAUGAUUCAAAGGCAGUAAUUAGGUUCUUGAAGAAAUAUAUUUUCACCCGAUAUGGUACACCGCGAGCUAUAAUCAGUGACGGGGGCAAACACUUCUGUAAUCGCCAGUUUGAGCAGCUGUUGAAUAAAUAUGGCGUUAAACACCGUGUCGCUACUCCAUAUCAUCCACAAACUAGUGGGCAAGUUGAAGUAUCUAAUCGGCAGUUGAAGAGAAUACUUGAAGUCACAGUGAACUCAUCUAGAAAGGACUGGUCUAAGAAGCUAGACGAUGCAUUAUGGGCUUACAGGACAGUAUUCAAGACACCGACAGGCAUGUCUCCAUACCGCCUAAUUUUUGGAAAAACGUGCCAUCUGCCACUAGAAAUGGAGCACCGGGCAUAUUGGGCUAUGAAACAGUUAAAUAUGGACUUGAGCGCUGCCGGUGGAAAGUAUCUACUGCAACUGAAUGAGUUAGACGAAUUUAGAAUGGAAGCUUAUGAAAAUUCAAAACUCUACAAGGAACGAACCAAGAAGUGGCAUGACAUGCACAUUUAGAGACGAGUAUUCGAAGUGGGGCAACAAGUACUAUUGUAUAACUCGAGACUCAAGCUGUUCCCAGGAAAACUACGGUCAUGGUGGUCAGAUCUGUACACUGUCACAAAAGUCUUACCAUACGGAGUUAUACAAGUCAGUCAUGAGACUAAAGGUACCUUCACUAUUAAAGGGCAAAAGUUGAAGCACUACUAGGGCGGUGACUUCUCCAACCAAAAGUCCACCGUUCAACUCAGGACCCCAAAGUAAAGCAGCUGCAUAAAAGUCGAGCUAUCGACUAUAACCUAGCGCUGGGUGAGAGGCAACUCACUAUAUCCUUUUAAGUUAAUUUACUUUUGCAUCAUAGUAGGAAUCUUUCAAUUUCAUUUUUCAAAUUUUUUAAUUUAGGUCAUUGAUCAUUCAUACAUGUUAAAAGAGUCCAAGCAAUAUCCACACGAGUCCCUAAGCAUCACACACACCUUCGGGUUGAUUGGAAUUGUUUUUGGGUGAUUGGGUAUAACGUUCAUGCAUUUUGAGGAAAACGUUUAUUCUCAAAAAAAAAUUCAAAUGUAAAUGCGUGAUUGUGAAAUUUAAUCAAACUUGUUUUUUUUUUGGGGGGGGGGGGGGGAAUAAAAAAAAAUUCGUAAAAAAAAAAUUUAGAUAAUGAUGCGACCGCACACAUAAAACUGAGUUUCAAGUGGCCAAUGCCACUUGAACCAUGCGGCCGUAGGCAACAAAGUCAUGCGGUCGCAUGGCAGAAUCGGGUGUAGUUUUAUUUAAUCACACCCGGUUCCUUCCUUCCUCAUUGUUUUCUUCUCCCCUUUCUUCCCUCAAUCUUUCAUGCAUUCUUAAGAUAAUUUCACCCUCCAAUUCUUCCCAUCAAAUCACGUUUGUACUCCCCAAUAUUCACCCCGUACAUCAAGCCAUCCACUUCAAGGUAAGGUAUUACUUCUCACAUUUCUCUCUGCAUUCUCUUUUUGAGUAAUUCGUCUUGGAAUUCGUUUUUUCAUGAAUUGAGGGAAAAUGAGCUAGUUCAUAUAGGGAUGGAAUUGUUGUGAUUAUGUUGUGUGACUUUUGGGAUGAAUUGGACAUUAAUUUCACUACCUUAGGACUACUUUCACAUAAUGCACACCAAGUGUUUGAUGAAAUGCCACAAUAACCAUUUGUGUACAAUUAGGUUCUUUUUGCAUAUAUAAUGAUUCACAAACAUGACACCAAAUAUAUUUUAACGAAUUUCCACAUGAAUUAACUUAGGAAACACCCACUUUUACAUUGCAACACAUAGGCACAUGAUUAGGUCAUCGCGCAUCACGGCACCCUCCAUCCCCUACUUUGCAUCUUCACUUGACAUACCAAACGACAUCCAAUUGGGUUGAAAUUCGAGUAUGUGCUACACUUCAAUGAAUACUUUGAUAUGCUUGAAGAUUGCCCUAGAAAAUUUUGAUAAUUCUCGAUGAUGUUAAGGGCCAAAAGUGCGCACUCGAUCAUGGAUCCAAUUUCUAAAAAAUUGCAUAUUUAUGCCGAGUUUUCUCCAUUUUUCAUAUUGGCGGAAUACUUGAAUUAAAUUGAACAUCAUAUCUUGACUAGUGCAUACCAUGGUGUUACACAUGCAUCUAGGAAAGUUUGGGGGAGUGUGCAAUGUAUAUUUUAUUUUCUCACUUCAUGCCAAUUCUUUCCACAACGAACUUAAUAAGUGUAAUCUUACAAACUUUGCAAGAUGCCUCCUAAAAGAGCUUUGCACGGGAAAGAAAAAGCAAGCUCUUCCACUGGGACAGCCCGUACUCGAGAGCUUGCGGGGAAAGUUCGGCGAUUCUUAACUGCAAAUACCGCGGCACGAUAUGAGAAUAUCGUACGCCAUUGGACUUUACAUGCUGAAAGACCCGUUAAGCUUGAUGACUUCCCGGGUUUUAAGUUGGUCAACUUAGUUCAGAUCUGUGGGUGGCAAAAGUUGGUGGGGCGACCACAUCCAAUCUAUGAGACUCUAUGCCGAGAGUUCUUCGUCAACUUCAACAGUGACAUUGACACGCCAGGCUCCGAGCAUUUCCAUCAGACUUGGGUGCGGGAGAAGUGGAUUAUGUUCUCUCCCGAGGUCAUUCAUGAUUACUACCAUAUUACCGUGGAGAAUGUGGUCCCUUUUCCAAUUGACUUUCACUGGAAUGAAGUGGCUGAGAUUUUAAUGGGGCGGGAGAAUGCAUGGCCCCUCGAAACUACCGAGUGGCAUCAGAUUGAGCUUACCCCUUCCAUAGCCAUUCUAUGGUUCUUUAAGUGCCACAAUAUCGAGCCCAUAUUACACAGGACUAGAUUUCCAAAUCAGACAGCAGGGUACAUCUACCACUUGGCUCGAGGCAGCAAGAUAGAUCUCGCUACUCAUAUAAACGAUCAACUAUACUCAUUGGGAACUCGGAGAGAUCAUCGCUCCACUUUGAUAUUCCCGAGCCUCAUUAGUGGCAUAUGUAGGGCUGCGGGUGUUGCACUCCUACUUGAGGAAUUACUUGAAAAACCCAGCCCCAUGAUCACAUGAACUACAUUUGAAGCUCAAACAAGGGCUUGGGUUAAACACAGGGAAGAACAAGAAAAUGAGCGUCGUAGACAACAAGCAGAACAAGGCCCAAUCCCUAUAGAUCAGGAACACCCACGGGCUCCAGCACCACAAGCUGACGUGGACAAUCAGUUGCUGAGACAGAUAUUCUCCACCACCACAGGCAUCAGUCGAGACCUCCACAGUUUCUUUCAGGAUUUUGGCAACAUGAGGACUGAAUUGAGAAGUUUACAAAGAGACAAUCACCUUGCAUUGAACUACAUCAGAGAUGCCAGGGAUCAUGCCACAGUCAUGCGAUGGGAGGUUGAUACCAUGAAUGGCUGGCUGAACAUGUAUGUGGGUCGAGUGGACGGCAUCCAAAUGAGGGUAAAUGAAACUUGGGAGACCAUGAGAGCUAUCCAGGCCGAGCAGACACAGCAGUUUACCUUAAUGUGGUAGCUCCUUGGACGACACCCUUCAUCGCCAGAUGAUGGUACAUCAAGACCCAGUUUCCCACCACCUCAUCCAUUUUGAUACAGGAGAAGUACUAUAUACCACAUUUUGACUUUCCUUUUUCAUGUUGUCCGUAAAAUUCUAUCUUUAAUCUUCUGUUAAUUUUACAUUGAGAACAAUGUAUUAACUAAGUUUCGGGGGUGACAUAAUUUUAACUAAGUAUCUGUGUUCAUCGGUAUUUGUAUUCCACAGUGUGUGCAUGAUGAGUGAAAAAAAUUAAAAAAAAUUCUAUCAGUUUUGCUUUAAUUCUUUUCUUGCAUGCUUGUAUGAGCUUGAUAGCCUUGCUAGCUAUGAUGUUAUAAUUGGACUAGGUUAAACUGUAAAAACUUUGGAUCUGGUGCAAUUAGGCUAACUAAUACUUGUUGAUGCAACACUUGACAUUAUCUAUGCACACUAGUCAUGCUUUACAUGUUGGGUGAAUGAAAGUAGUUUGAGCACAAAAUAGGAAAAGAAUGAUAACCUUCUAUUGAAUUAAACCGUAAACUGCCUUAAGACAGUUUGGUAAUGGUUGAGCUAUUAUAGGGAAGCAUUGAGAUGAGUGGAGGCUCCGUGCAUGAAUUUUAUUGUGUGGAUUGCCUAGACCAGUGAGGUGAAAUUAGGUGAAAAUCUUAAAUUAGGGGUUGGUUUUGGAAACAAUAUGUCUAGAACAAUAAGGGCAUAAAAUCAAUUUGUGAGAACAAUACACUUCUUUUCAUGCCUUUACAACUCGAGCAAGUAAGCCUGUAAGGAUAUUUCAAAAUCUGGUGCCCUAAGGUAAACUGGCUUGGGAGUCACCGACCUAAAGCUCGCUAAAAGGGUCAUAUAAAAAGCAAGAGGGAAAGAGGUUAAUAAAAAAUCAUCUGAUCAAGCCUUUAUAACUCGAGUGAAUAAGCAUGUAAGGGUUUAAAACCUAGUGCCCUAAAGCCAAUCGGUUUGGGAGUCACUGGCCUAAAACUCGUUACAUGGGUUAUAUAGCAAGCAAAUGAGAAGAUGAUAAUAAAAAAAAAUAAAAUAAUAAUAAUAAUAAUAAUAAUAAAAUCAGAAAAAUUAGAGAAAAGAGAGAAAAACAAAAGAGAGAUAAUAACAUGAAGAAAAGCCCUUGGACAUUUGGUUAAAGAAACUAUAACUUUGAGGCAAGGCAAGUAACCUAGUUUAAUCUUGAGUGUCGAAGCAAUCAAACUUGGGAGAGCCUUCACUUGUUGAAAUGUAAACUUGUGAUAGUGAGAUUAAUCCAAACUACGAGAGGGUGAAGACUAUAGCUAUGUAAAUUCAUAAUUUUAAAACACAACCCUGGGAUAAUUGCUUGAAAAGAAUAAGUUUAGGGGGUUGUGUAUAUCUCGAGCGAGUAAGGAUACAAUUGAACACUCGGGAUCGGGACUCAAAUCCAUCAUGAACCUAAUAUGUUGGCAUGAAUUCACACACACUCGUCAAGUACGCAUUUAACAGGUGAAGGUUGAUGUCAUUUUUGCACUGAUAAAUUUUCAUAAAGUCGAAUACUUAGUCCAAUCCUGAGCUGCAGCAGGGUAUUAAGCCAUGUUUGUUCAGAAUUAAGUCACUAUCUUGUUUGAGGACAAACAAUAGUUCAAGUUUGGGGGGUGUGGUAAGUGUGUUUUUGCACACUUAUUUAAGUCACAAACAUGACUUAAUUACGAGCAAAAUAAUUGAAUUGUGACUUAAUUUCGUUACAUUUGUGAAUUGUAGAGAACACCGAUGAAUAUGGUGAAAUUCAUGAGAAAAGAUGUAAAAAAGGACUAAAAUGACUCAAAGUGAAAAUUCAAGGACCAAGGUGCAAUUACCCAAAAGUUGACCAGAUGAACAAAUCAAGGAAUUGGUUGAACCAAAUGCCAAUCGACGAUGCCUUGGGAUGAUGGAAUGGAAAGAGUGAAUAAAAGAGGCCUAGAAGUGAAAGAUUCAAGUAAAGGGACUAAAUUGAAGAGAAUAAAAGUUGGAGUCUACCAUGCGGCCGCACGAAUUAAUGCAGGGAAUUUUUAUCAAAACAUGGAAUAACCAUGCUGCCGCACAAAUUAAAACCAUGCGGUCAUAUGGUAGUCUUUCCGAUACGAAAUUUUCUUUCCUUAUACAAUUAAAACUCCUUUAGUAACCUAAUAUUCACGGGAUAUAAAUAUCAAAAAAAGUCCAAAAAUGAUCAGAACGCAUUGGGAGGCAGAAAAACACUUCUUGAAAAGGAUUUGGAGCGCAAGAACGAGGAUUGGCUAUUAGAAUUUCAAGAUUUCUUCAAGCUUUUAUAAUCCGGUGAUGCUUAUUACUCAAAACUUGAUGUAUUUUGUUAUUUUAAUCAUGCUAGGCUGGAUUUUCAUGUGCUAGGAGAUCGAUGAAUCAUGUAAUUUGAAUUUUAAUAUCCUAGUUUUGCAAUUUGAUAUUAAGACACAUUUUUAUUGUUUUGAAUGAUUUAUAUGCAAUUAAUGUUUCCGCAAUUAAGGGCUCGUAAUUGUGUGAAUUUGGAUGAUUUAUUCUUACAUUCGAGAAAAUUGGAAUAGAUUUGACAUAAUAUAAAUCAUCGUAAGGUUCGAUAGGGGAUAGAAAUAUACUGUUAUGCCGUACGUGAAUCUUUAAGUGUUCAUAAAACCGCAUGCAUUUUUACAUAUGUCUUGUCAUAGAAAUAUAGGCCGGUGGUAUGUAGAAAUAGGUUUGAUGCAUCUCGAGAGAGAGUAUUGGAUAGACUUAGGAACAUUGAUUCGUCACAAUUGAAGUGUGUUGUCAUAUUGUGAAACUAGGGUUUAAAGUGAUAAUUGCAUGGAAAAUCGUGAUCCUAAUGUGUUUAAUUUCUAUUAAUUAUAACAACGUGCAUUCUCAACAUUUAAUUUUAUUCUAGAGUGUUAAAAUAUAGUUUUGAGUUUUAAUUUCAAUUCACUCAUUAAAUUUGCGUAAUUAGGAUUUCUUUUUGAAAUUAGGGUUUUACUUAGGUUCGCAUCCACUUUGGCAAUCCAGUUUCGGUCAAGGCUACGUUAGAUAAAAUUUGAACUAAUCAAUCUCUAUGGGAUGACAUUCGGAUUUAUUGAAUCCACUUUAUUACUUGUUAACGAACCGUACACUUGCGGUAGUUUAAAAUCAAAAGAAAAUAAUUUCGCGAACAACAUACAAACGAAGUAGAAUUUUUAGUUGAAAGCUACAUUGAUAUGGAAUAUUAGUGAUUUUUCGGGAUAUGGGUUGAACAAAGUCUUUCGAGCUUAAAAAUGGAGAAAAAACAUCUUUUCUUUAUUGUCAUCGUCAAUUCCAACCACCCGACCAUGCAUUUAGAAAACAAAGAGACAAGUUUUACAAAGAUAGAGUUGAGAAGAAUAUGGCACAACAUAGGCUAACUGGUGAAGAGCUGUAAAGUAUAGUGGAAAACCUCCCACACAUUGCAAGUGGCAAAGCUUAUAAGAGAAAAGGAAUCAAAGAUUUUGGUCAUAGCCAUAAUUGGAUGAGCAAAAGCACUUUCUAGGAGUUGCCUUACUGGGAUAAAAAUCUCAUAAGGCACAAUUUAGAUGUAAUGUACAUUGAAAAGAAUGUAUUCGAAAAUAUAUUUAACACAAUUAUGGAUAUAAAAGGAAAAAGUAAAGACAACUUUAAGGCUAAGAAGGAUUUGGAGCUCUAUUGCAAUCAUCUAGAGCUUCAUAUAUAUGAAGGUAANUA
rnacentral:lncRNA from 1 species